rnacentral:rRNA from 1 species
AGUUUUUUNCCNGCAGGGGCCCGGCCAMRGGCYGGUCCCUGKGUGYAUKCAGUCKUGRGYUCGUGAGAUAGUUGGGUUAAGUCCCGCAACGAGGGCAACCCUUSGCCCUUAGUUGNCCAUCAUUUCAGUUGGGCCACUCUUAGGGGACUUGCCCGGUGAUUAAGCCGGCGAGGAAGGUGGGGGAUGACGUCCAAGUYCUCAUGGGCCCUUACGGGCUGGGCUACACACGUGCUACAAUGGCGGUGACAAUGGGAUGCGGAAGGGCGACCUCGAGCAAAUCUCAAAAAGCCGUCUCAGUUCGGAUUGCACUCUGCAACUCGAGUGCAUGAAGGUGGAAUCGCUAGUAAUCGCAGAUCAGCACGCUGCGGUGAAUACGUUCCCGGGCCUUGUACACACCGCCCGUCACACCAUGGGAGUUGGUUUUACCCGAAGGCGUUUCGCCAACCGCAAGGAGGCAGGCGACCACGGUAGGGUCAGCGACUGGGGUGAAGUCGUAACAAGGUAACUUCAGGGC